rnacentral:rRNA from 1 species
UACAGAGGUCCCAAGCGUUGUUCGGAUUUACUGGGCGUAAAGGGCGCGUAGGCGGCGUGUCAAGUCAGGCGUGAAAGCCCCGGGCUCAACCUGGGAACCGCGCUUGAGACUGGCAUGCUCGAGUUCGGGAGAGGAUGGUGGAAUUCCCAGUGUAGAGGUGAAAUUCGUAGAUAUUGGGAAGAACACCGAUGGCGAAGGCAGCCAUCUGGACCGACACUGACGCUGAGGCGCGAAAGCGUGGGGAGCAAACAGG